GACGAACGCUGGCGGCAGGCCUAACACAUGCAAGUCGAACGGUAACAGGAAACAGCUUGCUGUUUCGCUGACGAGUGGCGGACGGGUGAGCAAUGUCUGGGAAACUGCCUGAUGGAGGGGGAUAACUACUGGAAACGGUAGCUAAUACCGCAUAACGUCGCAAGACCAAAGAGGGGGACCUUCGGGCCUCUUGCCAUCAGAUGUGCCCAGAUGGGAUUAGCUAGUAGGUGGGGUAACGGCUCACCUAGGCGACGAUCCCUAGCUGGUCUGAGAGGAUGACCAGCCACACUGGAACUGAGACACGGUCCAGACUCCUACGGGAGGCAGCAGUGGGGAAUAUUGCACAAUGGGCGCAAGCCUGAUGCAGCCAUGCCGCGUGUAUGAAGAAGGCCUUCGGGUUGUAAAGUACUUUCAGCGAGGAGGAAGGCAUUGUGGUUAAUAACCACAGUGAUUGACGUUACUCGCAGAAGAAGCACCGGCUAACUCCGUGCCAGCAGCCGCAGUAAGAC
rnacentral:rRNA from 1 species